AGCUCUGCUCCGUUUGAGGAAUGCUGUUGGUAGGUCUGAGGUUAUCAGAAAGACGGCGAUUUGGCUGGGGACAGAGACAAAGGGGAUGGAGAGACUCAGAGAACAGAAUCAGGCUCACAGAAGCCAGGCAGAGUGUGUCGGUGAUAAAGCUGGCCUCAAAGGAGAGGAAGGGCUGACCCGGCUCCCUUGCCCAGGCACCUCGCCGCCGAGGCCUGGCCUCAUGGAAAUGGCUCUCCGCUCCCGCUGGCCAGCAGCCAGGCCAACAGCAGCCUCGGCAAGCUGCAUCCCCAGAUAGCCUCUUCACGGACUAGGAAAGUAAGUGUACUUGGGAGUUAUCUGCCUUAAGCUAGCAGCAGGCCGCCCCAUCCGUUAGGGGAGGCGGGAGGGAUUGAGGCAGGGAAGUGUUUUAAAUAUCUUUUGUUUUGUUCCUUUUCGGCCAAUCGGAACCGAGGCCAACUUCGGGCAGGGUGACAGAAGGGCUCACCUUCAGAUCAUGGAGCUGAAGGAGUCAUGUUACAGCCACAAAGAGACCCGUGGCGAUGUCGGGAGACGUUUUAGGUUGUCCGAUCUGGAGGAAGGGCGGGUGCUACUGAGAUCCAGAAGAGGCAGAACUGUGCAGUGAUUGAGUACGUGGCAGCUGGCCUCAGACUGUCUGACGUCUGGGCGUGAAUCCAGCUGUCCCACUGGCCUGGGCAGCUAGGCUGGGCAGACUUGCUUGAGGUAUGAAAUUCUUUGGGACUUGAUUUCCUCAUCUGCGCAAUGGGAGCCAUAAUAAUACUGAUAAUAAUACCCACCUGGAAAUUCACUGACUCCGUGUUGUCAAGCACGGGUAGCCACACACACAGUGAGCACUCAUGCGGUUGCAAUUAGGAUUUCCCUCUGCUCACUCUUAAAAAGGUAAUUUCUGAAUGCCUCCAAGUCAUUUCUCUUCCUUUUCUCAACAUCGAACGUCCCAAAGAAGCACAAGGAUACAUCCUGGUAGCUGGCACGUUCUAAGCAUUGUCAGGUACUGUUCUAAGCAAUUUCCAUAAACUAACCAAUCACCCUCACAAACCUGUGUGCAGUGGGCACCUUAGAGUCAUCAACCCAUUUCCCAGAUGAGGAAGCUGAGGAAGUAUUCAUAGCCUCCUUCUCUUUCCAUCUCCUUCUGCCUGCUCCUCACUUUUUCCUCAACACCUUUCAAUUAUUUACCCAGAAAUUGCCGUGCCAUCAAUAAGGGACUGAUUGAGUAAACAUGGUCCUGCCAUACAGACUGAAGAUUCUACAGCUGUGGCCCAAGAAUCUGGGAACUCUUACGUACCGAUACGGAACACUCUCUAAGACCCAUUCUUGAGUUGAAAAACAAAACAAAACAAGAACAGUAUGUGAAAUAUGUCAUUUAAAAAAAAAAUAGGCAAACCUCUGUGUCUUUUUCUUAACAGGUUUGCUUAUUGGGGAGCUGGCUCAGUUGGGAAAGCAUGCGACUCUUGAUCUCGGGGCUGAGUCUGAGCCCCACGUGGGAUGUAGAAAUUACAUAUAUACACAUGUUUGCUUCUUAUGCACUGAAUUUCUUGGAAGCAUACUUAAAAAAUUGCUAACGCUUUGCAUCCAAAGGGUCCUGGGUGGCAGGAACGGGAAGGAGAUUUUUUUACUGCUGUCUCUUUUGAAUUUCAACCACGCGAAGGUACUACUUCUUCCAAAAUAAAUCAGUAAAUGUAAUAGAGUAUUAGGAAAAUUGUGGAAGGCUAUGAAAUAGGCAAAAAAAAAAAAAAAAGAUUAAUGGGUAGCCUGCUCUGGUGCGUUGGGUUACCUGCACUUUUGUUUCUGAGCUUUUCACAGCUCAGCCACUGGUAGAAAACCAAUAGUAAUGCAAGACGCUCUUGUCCAUAGACAUGCAAAU